rnacentral:rRNA from 1 species
UCGGUGAUCCUGCCGGAGGNUACUGCUAUCGGAGUUCGAUUNAGCCAUGCGAGUCNNAAGGUUUCUUCGNAAANCCUUGNCGGACUGCUCAGUAACACGUGNAUAANCUNNCCUUGGGACUGGAAUAACCCCGGGAAAACUGGGGAUAAUNNCGGAUAGAUCAGGGAUGCUGGAAUGCACCUUGAUCCAAAGCUCCGGCGCCCAAGGAUGGGUCCGCGGCCUAUCAGGUAGUAGUGGGUGUAACGUACCUACUAGCCAACGACGGGUACGGGUUGUGAGAGCAAGAGCCCGGAGAUGGAUUCUGAGACACGAAUCCAGGCCCUACGGGGUGCAGCGGGCGCGAAACCUUUACAAUGUGCGAAAGCAUGAUAAGGGAACUCCGAGUGCCAGCAUCUAAUGUUGGCUGUCCUUGUGCCUAAAACGCACAAGAUAGCAAGGGCCGGGUAAGACCGGUGCCAGCCGCCGCGGUAACACCGGCGGCCCGAGUGGUAGCCGCUAUUAUUGGGUCUAAAGGGUCCGUAGCCGGUUCGAUAAGUCCUCUGGGAAAUCUGGUUGCUUAACAAUCAGACUGCCAAGGGAUACUGUCGAACUUGAGACCGGGAGAGGUAAGAGGUACUUCAGGGGUAGGAGUGAAAUCUUGUAAUCCCUGGGGGACCAUCUGUGGCGAAGGCGUCUUACCAGAACGGGUCUGACGGUGAGGGACGAAAGCUGGGGGCGCAAACCGGAUUAGAUACCCGGGUAGUCCCAGCCGUAAACGAUGCUCGCUAUGUGUCAGGUACGGUGUGACUGUAUCUGGUGCCGUAGGGAAGCCGUGAAGCGAGCCACCUGGGAAGUACGGCCGCAAGGCUGAAACUUAAAGGAAUUGG